UAGACAAGAAGCUCAUAAUGAAAUGGUGGUAAAUGACAAAUACAUUUUUUUUAACUUGCGUUUAAUUUGUUGAUUUGUUUUCAGUAGAACGAUUGGCAAUGUACAAUACAUUCAAGAAUAGAAUUUUGAUAUAUAAUUUGCAGAUUAAUAUUGCAAUUGUUUAUUGAAGUUACCAAAAUUCAACUAGUGCUUGAUCCUUAAAGAAGCUCCCAAUAUAUAAAUACAUAAAUUCAUGCUUAUCUUAGUUGUUUUAGAAAUUUUGUUGUAAACAAAAUAAUAUAGUUGUUGAUAUUUGUUUUAUAUUUAAUAUGAGAAACCAUAGUGAUUGGAGUUAUUAAUUGAUUGUUAUAACAAUGAAGUAUGUAGCUGGAGGGUUUUUAUAUACAAUCUUUGUCAAUGAGAUUUAUCUAUGUUAUUUUAUAAAAUUGAGAAUGGAAAUGGGGAAUGUGUCAAAGAGACAACAACCCGACCAAAUAAAAAACAACAGCAGAGGGUCACCAACAGGUCUUCAAUGUAGCGAGAAAUUCCCGCACCCGGAGGCGUCCCUCAGCUGGCUAUAUAACUAUUUUAUUUAUAAUGAAACUAUUUAUUGUUUGUUAUUGGGGAAA
rnacentral:lncRNA from 1 species